AUACGUAGGGGGCGAGCGUUGUCCGGAAUGACUGGGCGUAAAGGGCGUGUAGGCGGCGGAUUAAGUCUGGAGUGAAAGUCCCGUUUUCAAGGGGGGAACUGCUUUGGAUACUGAUCAGCUUGAGUGCGGAAGAGGUAAGUGGAAUUCCCAGUGUAGCGGUGAAAUGCGUAGAGAUUGGGAGGAACACCAGUGGCGAAGGCGACUUACUGGGCCGUAACUGACGCUGAGGCGCGAAAGCGUGGGGAGCAAACAGGAUUAGAUACCCUGGUAGUCCACGCUGUAAACGAUGAAUACUAGGUGUGGGGGGACUGACCCCCUCCGUGCCGCAGUUAACACAAUAAGUAUUCCACCUGGGGAGUACGAUCGCAAGAUUGAAACUUAAAGGAAUUGACGGGG
rnacentral:rRNA from 1 species